AGCGUAGACGGUGAGACAAGUCUGAAGUGAAAUCCCGGGGCUCAACCCCGGAACUGCUUUGGAAACUGCCUGACUGGAGUGCAGGAGAGGUAAGUGGAAUUCCUAGUGUAGCGGUGAAAUGCGUAGAUAUUAGGAGGAACACCAGCGGCGAAGGCGGCUUACUGGACUGUAACUGACGUUGAGGCUCGAAAGCGUGGGGAGCAAACA
rnacentral:rRNA from 1 species